UACGGGGGGAGCAAGCGUUGUUCGGAUUUACUGGGCGUAAAGGGCGCGUAGGCGGUCAGCACAAGUCAGUUGUGAAACCUCCGGGGCUUAACUCGGAAAGGUCAACUGAUACUGUGCGACUAGAGUGCAGAAGGGGCAACUGGAAUUCUCGGUGUAGCGGUGAAAUGCGUAGAUAUCGAGAGGAACACCUGCGGCGAAGGCGGGUUGCUGGGCUGACACUGACGCUGAUGCGCGAAAGCCAGGGGAGCGAACGGG
rnacentral:rRNA from 1 species